CCUACGGGGGGCUGCAGUUUCGAAUCAUUCACAAUGGGCGAAAGCCUGAUGGUGCGACGCCGCGUGAGGGAUGAAGGUCUUCGGAUUGUAAACCUCUGUCACUGGGGAAGAAACGCUAAGUCCUAAUACGAUUUAGCCUGACUUAACCCGGAGAGGAAGCAGUGGCUAACUCUGUGCCAGCAGCCGCGGUAAUACAGAGACUGCAAGCGUUAUUCGGAUUCACUGGGCGUAAAGGGUGCGCAGGCGGCCAAGUGUGUCAGGUGUGAAAUCCCGGG
rnacentral:rRNA from 1 species